UGAGCGGAGGAUUUGUUGAUGGAUGCUAAACGGUAAUGAAGGGCUGAUCUUGAAUGACCGAAGCAUAGAAUGAGCUGGGAGCUGGGAGGAAGGCUUUGUUUGGAUGCCGUGAAGCUCGAGAGUUUGGCUUGAUUUGCGAACGGGAUUGAACGUGAAACAGGGGAGAGAAGUUGGGAUCUCGGCUGACAGCUGGGAACGGAUGCAAGGCUGGAAGAUGAACACGGCCGCGAGGAGCUGGAUCUUAUCGCGGAAGAAGAAGAGGAUCCACGAUGCAGGGGAGAGAGAGCUCUUCCGUGAUGCUCGGGGAGAAGGAGUGCUGGGAUCCACGUGUGGAAGUUUGAGUCACAGGGGGAAUACGGUAGAAGAGCUUGGAUACGACUGGGAAUGAACUAGUUGCAGCUGGGAGGAAUCCUGAGAUGCUGGAAGAUUGCAUGGAUGUUGGAAAGAAAUCUUGGAUGAUGGAAUGAUCCGGAAGAAGCUGGAUCUGCUUCAUGAUGAAAAGAAGAUGGAGCUUAGCCGUGGAUAGGUUGGCAGCUGGGACUUGAAGCUUAGAUCGAAUCCGUUGGAGGUUGGGAUGUCGCCGUUGAAAGAAUAGAUGCCCUGCAAGCCAAUCGCAAUAUGUAUUGCGAAAAGGUUUUGUAAUAACCCCAAAAUAUUUUUUUUAUAUAAAAAGGGAUAGAAUAGUCCUUUAAAAUUGAUAUAAGGGGUAAAAUUGGAAGGAAUUAAAAAUUAAUGGCAUAACAGUAGAUAUGUUGAAGUGUUAGGGGCAAAAUGGGAAUUUAAUAAUAUUAAACAAAGGGUGAAUAGUGUUUUGAUGUGACUUAAUUAAGGGGGUUUGCUGUGGCUUUUGGAUGAAAACCGAGAGAGAGUAAUAGAGAGGGAGAGUCAGAGACGCGGAGAGGAAAGAAAGAAGGAAAAAGAGAAGAAGAAGAAGAAGAAGAAAGAAGAAGAGGAAGGGGAUUCGAGGAGGAGAGGGAUCCCGGUUGCGCUCCCAGCUGAAGGGAAAAACGUAGGUCUCCUUCCCCUCUACGCAAAGAUCCAAGUUUUAGAAGAAGAAAAAGGUAAAUACCCGUUCCUACCUAGUAUUCUAAAGAAUUUAUGCUAUAGAAAGGGUAGAUGACAGUUGUAAAGGGUGUUAAAAGAGGAAGAAUCGGAUUUCGACAAAUUUUUCCGGCACUACGGAAAAACCGUGUCGAAGUCCCAACUUCGGCAAAUUAUUUCGGAGGCCAAACGGCCUCCGAUAGUGAUGCAUGUUACUAUUCUGGAAUUCUCUAUGAGCGUAGGAUGUUAGGUAAAAAUUUCAUCAAAUUUGGAGUCUGGAAAGUGGAUCAAACCUGGGAUGAAGUAACCGGCUGUCGGUCCGGGUUACUGUUCAUCCGGGUGUAAAAUAGGGGAUUUCAUGCUAUAAUAGGGUAUUAAGCCUAGAUUAAGCUAAGGGGACCUUGUACUCAUGCAAGGGAAUCCCUAGUAUACAUA
rnacentral:lncRNA from 1 species